CUACGUAGGGGGCAAGCGUUGUCCGGAAUUACUGGGCGUAAAGAGCUCGUAGGCGGCUCAGCAAGUCGGUCGUGAAAGCCCGAGGCUCAACCUCGGAACUGCGGUCGAUACUGCUGUGGCUAGAGUCCGGUAGAGGAGAGUGGAAUUCCCGGUGUAGCGGUGGAAUGCGCAGAUAUCGGGAGGAACACCAGUGGCGAAGGCGGCUCUCUGGGCCGGUACUGACGCUGAGGAGCGAAAGCGUGGGGAGCAAACAGGAUUAGAAACCCUAGUAGUCC
rnacentral:rRNA from 1 species